GGCAUCACGUUGGACAAGGGGUUCAACCUGCCCAUGGAUCUCACGUGCAGCUCCGGCGACGCGCUCCGGUGCCGGGAGGACGGGUGCCACGACGCGUUCCCGUACGUGAAGUACAACGACCACUCAUGCACCGCCGCCGGCAGCCGGCUCCAGAUCGUCUUCUGCCCAUGAUGAGCUAGCUAGCGGCAGAACGUAAACAUAUAACCUACACAUAUACUACGUGUAGUAGUACAUACUUAGACGUGUCAUGUAUUCUCAGCGGUACGUACGUACACGUAUGAACGCACGUGCCAGUUUCCAAGAAAAUUGCCAUGUGUGAUGUGCCUUUGAUAUAUUGUUCUUUUUUAUCGAAUGCCUUUGAUAUAUUGUUCUUUUUUAUCGAAUGCCUUUGAUAUAUUCUUUACGGGAAUUUACACACAAAAGAACGUGAAUUUAAACAAGAUAGCCUACAAAUAUGUAUGUUUUUCCACACACAAAAAAUAUAUGGAUGUUCUAACAUUGGGACUCAGCUUGAUUUUUUUUUUCGAGGGGUGGGACUCAGGUUGAUGGUCAGGGUCUCAAAUGGCAUGGCCAUGAUUUUUAGAGAGGUUGAGCCAGGAUAUGUGAUUGGGGCAUGAUACCAGCUUUUUUUUCCAACCGGGCUCACAAACCCUUUCCAUUAAUUUUGCAAUCAACGGAAAUACAUCAGUCUGAUUUCAAGUUCUGUAUCGAGCAUCCACUUGCUAAAGAUAACUAGACUGAAAGAUAGAACUAACCGCAAGCAAAAUGAGACUGAAAGAGGAGAGCAGGUUGGUGCAUCAUCAGGAAACCCAUCGCCGGACAAUCCUGGAACGGACCAUCCGCCGUGGCGCGAAAACCUGAUGACACUUACAAGCAACUGCCCAACGAAAAUACCCAAGGUUCCCAGGAUGAAACUGCCAGUAAGCCUCUACGACUAGGCGAACCACAACCAGGAAGCACAAUUGCCAGCUGGCAUCAAAACCCAGUGGACAACAGAACGCAAAAGGAAAGAUCCAAGCGCCGAUUUCAUCUAACCAAUCUGGAUCCCAUCUCUGUCUCCCAAGAGAAGUCUGCCACGAGGGAAGGACCUGUCCGCCAGCGCAGCAGCCGCGUGAGCUAACCUCUUCACUCCAGCUUGGAACUUCACCUUCUCAUCCUCCUUAAGCAGACCUCACUAGUAGAAAAAGGGUCAAACGUGAAGCACAUUAGUGCCGGUUUGUAUUUGAGCCGGUACUAAUGGUACCAUUAGUGCCGGUUCGAACGGAUUUGCAUUAAUGCCGGUUCGUGUUGAACCUUUAGUACCGGUUCGUGGCACGAACCGGUACUAAAGGGGUGGUGGCAGGCUGGCGUCAGGCCGGGGCCCCACGAUCACCUUUAGUACCGGUUCGUGGUACGAACCGGUACUAAAGGUCUAACCUUUAGUACCGGUUCAUGCCAUGAACCGGCACUAAAGGGGUCUGACCUAUAGUACCGGUUGGAGACACAAACCGGCAUUAUAGGGCAAUUUUCAAACUUGAAAAAAUCAUAACUAAAUCAUCGUAAUUCAGAAAAAUACAUAUAAUAUAUCAAAAUAUGCAGACUUUUAAGGAAGAAAUUAGGAAGGCUAUACAGGGAAAAUGCGUGAAGGUUCUCGCAGAGUGUGUUCCUUUAAUCUCACCAACCAGUUAGCUUAGGAUGUGCGAAUCAACAUGUGGUUGGACGGUUAGAGGGACAGUAGUAUCCACAGCCCAUCAGGGUUUAAGUCCUGGUGCUCACAUUAUUUCUGGAUUUAUUUUAGGAUUUCUGGCGUUGUGCUUUCAGCAGGAGGAGACGUUCCUGUCGACAACGAGGCGCCUACGGUGACUUUGUAAAUGUCAAGAUGAUAUACUGGCUAGGUCUCUCGUAGGUGCUCAUAGGGGUAGGAAUGUGCAUGUGUGCAUUCAUAGGGGUGAGCGUAUGUGCGUAUGUUUGAGCACUUGCGUCUAUACUAUGCUAAAAAACAGAUAGCUCGGAAUGUGUGUUAUGCUAUAUGUAUAUAACCUAGUUUCCGCUAUAAAGGGCCCGUGCUUUGCAAUGUGAAAACCCGCGAAAGUUGACCUCGGUACCAAUUGGCAGGAUCUCACAGACCUGCGAGGGCCCCACUUGCCACCCUUCCUUCCCACCGACACGGAGCCUCCAAGUAUACUCUUCAUCCACAUGUUGUGUGGCUCAGACAUGGAAGAAAAUACACUGUAAUCGUGCAUGCUUGUUGUCCUGAAUGAAGAUACAUAAAUUUACAGAAUAUUUUUAAUACAGGUUGAAUUUUUUUGAAGUACACAUUGUCAAUUUUUUUAAUGCAUGACGAACAUAUUUCGAAAACACGUUUGCAGUUUUUUAAUACAUGUGAAACAUUUUUGGAAAACAUGUUUACAAUUUUAUAAUAUACAGGAGGUGCUCUCCGGUCUAGCUGAAGCUGAAGAGGUGCAAUUCGGUCUAACUUAGGACGAAGACAGGUCUUCGGUGUACUGUAGACUGAAGAGCUCCGAAGUCGGGCCGAAAAGAACUCUUCGGUCUACGCUUGGCCGAAGAGUGCACUUCGGUUUAAGCCAAGCCGAAGUGUCCUCUGACGCCCACCUCUUCGCGUGAACUGAAGACCGAAGUUGCAUGGAACCACACUUCGGUUUACACUUGGCUGAAGAGGACCUCUUGGGUUUAUACUAGGCUGAAGAGUGACCUUUUCCCGCCAGGCCUUUUCCGCCAUCUGUAAUGUAUCUUUCCCUCCAUUUGUUCACGCCAUUUUCUUUCCCUCCACUGUUUCCUUCCAUCCUCUUUCCCGCCCAAUUUUCCUGCCAACCCCUUACCCUCAUUCUUUAAAACCAGACCCCUUGCAUGUUGUUUUCUGCAUCUUUCCUUAGCAAUAUUUUCAGUCAUGUCCGACGAAAAUUCCGGUGGUUUUACUCCACUAAUGUCUCAUUUGCCCUUGUGCAAUGCAUCAAGAAUUCAUAGGCAUAGUAUGGGGUGUGUGUGAAUCAAAUAUACCCUAGAGGCAAUAAUAAAGUUAUUAUUUAUUUCCUUAUUUCAUGAUAAAUGUUUAUUAUUCAUGCUAGAAUUGUAUUAACCGGAAACAUAAUACAUGUGUGAAUACAUAGACAAACAAAGUGUCACUAGUAUGCCUCUACUUGACUAGCUCGUUGGUCAAAGAUGGUUAUGUUUCCUAACCAUCGACACGAGUUGUCAUUUGAUUAACGGGAUCACAUCAUUGGGAGAAUGAUGUGAUUGACUUGACCAAUUCCGUUAGCUUAGCACACGAUCGUUUAGUAUGUUGCUAUUGCUUUCUUCAUGACGUAUACAUGUUCCUAUGACUAUGAGAUUAUGCAACUCCCAUUUACCAGAGGAACACUUUGUGUGCUACCAAAUGUCACAACGUAACUGGGUGAUUAUAAAGAUGCUCUACAAGUGUCUCCGAAGGUACUUGUUGGGUUGGCGUAUUUCGAGAUUAGGAUUUGUCACUUCGAUUGUCGGAGAGGUAUCUUUGGGUCCUCUUGGUAAUGCACAUCACUUAAGCCUUGCAAGCAAUGCAACUAAUGAGUUAGUUGCGGGAUGACGUAUUACGAAACGAGUAAAGAGACUUGCCAGUAACGAGAUUGAACUAGGUAUUGAGAUACCGGCGAUCGAAUCUCGGGCAAGUAACAUACCGAUGACAAAGGGAACAACGUAUGUUGUUAUGCAGUCUGACCGAUAAAGAUCUUCGUAGAAUAUGUAGGAGCCAAUAUGAGCAUCCAGGUUCCGCUAUUGGUUAUUGACUGGAGACGUGUCUCGGUCAUGUCUACAUUGUUCUUGAACCCGUAGGGUCGGCACGCUUAAGGUUUCGAUGACAAUUAUAUUAUGAGUUUAUAAGUUUUGAUGUACCGAAGGAGUUCGGAGUCCCGGAUGAGAUCGAGGACAUAACGAGGAGUCUCGAAAUGGUCGAGACAUAAAGACCGAUAUAUUGGACGACCAUAUUCGGACAUCGGAAAGGUUCCGAGUGAUUCGGGUUUUUUUCGGACUACCGGAGAGUUACGGGAAUUCGCCGGGGAGUAUAUGGGCCUUAUUGGGCCACACGGGAAUAGAGGAGAGAGGCCAAAAGGAAGGAGGCCCCCCCUCUGGUCCUAAUUGGACAAGGGGUGCAACAACAACAUACAACUAUCUAGAUAAAGCAUUUAAAUGCAACAACAAAUGCGACCAAAAUUGCAACUAAGGUAAUUAUUGAUCCAAUAGCAUAAUGAUACCAAGCCUAUUUAUUAGCGGCAUAUUUUCUAAACUUUCUAAUCUUCAAGCGCAUUGCAUCCAUCUUGAUCUUUGGAUCAUCGACGACAACAGCAACAUACAAAUCCAAUUUCAUCUUCUCUUCUCAAUUCUUUUUAAUUUUUCUUUCAAAUACUCAUUUUCUUUUUCAACUAAAUUUAACUUCUCGACAAGAGGGUCGGUGGCAAUUUCUGGUUCACAUACCUCCUAGAUAAAAGUAUAUAUGUGAGCUUGAUGGGCAUAAUUGUCAUAAACACGAAAUGCAACAAAUAGUUAUAAAGAUAUUAUACCACAUCCGAAUCAUAAAUCGGACAAGGGCCAUCGGCGAAGGAUAUCAAAACCAUGGCACUACGUAUAACAAACAAUCAUACAAGUAAGAAAAUUAUACAAGCAACUAUCUAAAUGAUAGAAAUAAGAUUUCUUUGCACAAAAAGGAUAAGAACAAAAGCCUCACCAAGGAGGUGUCGGCGACGGGACGGCGUGGGCGAUCGAUGGCGGUGAGGACGGGAAGGCAGUAGUUAAACCACACCUACACAUAUGGAAACUAAGAAGUUAAUUUGAGCUCAAAUUACAUAUAAAUCAAAUAAACUCCCACAUAAUUACUCCCAAACAAAAACCCACAAAUGACUAUACUUAUACAGCAUGAAACAAGCUGAACUAGCAAUGAGAGAGGAAAGGACAAAGUUACUAACCUUUUAAACACUUGUAUAGAUGGGGUGCCUCAAAUCUUAACAAAUCUUGGCAGUUAGAUGACACCACUACACUACACACGGUAGGAGUUAUCUUGAACGAAACACAAGGGAAAAAAGUCGGACCCGACAAAGGUCGUCCAGGUAGGUAGCCAUCUUUGAAUUGAAUGAGUGUUCUCCAAAGUAGCUAGCUCGGUGAGAUGAUCAACAUCUUCAUCACGAACCCUAUAUAAACGCCAAGCUCCAUGAGCUCAGUCCCAGCACACACACACCCACAGUUCCACCUAAUAUAAUGGCCGGAAGCGCGAGCGCCACUCCAGUCCUCCUCGUCGUCGUGGUCGUGGCCCUCGCCGCGGGGGCCAGCACGACAUCGACGCUGACGCUGCUCAGCAUCACCAACCGGUGCUCCUUCACGGUGUGGCCGGCGGUGGCCUCCACAGGCCUCGGCACCGAGCUCCAUCCGGGAGCCAACUGGACCGUGGACGCGUCGGCGAUCCACUACACCGCGGACAUAUGGGGGCGCACGGGCUGCUCCUUCGACGUGGCAGGCAGGGGGCGGUGCCAGACGGCGGACUGCAGCAGCGGGCUGCGGUGCCGGAGCACCGACCCUGCGGCGCCGGCGACCAAGGCCCAGGUCGCCAUCUCCGAGGGCUUCUACCACUACGGCAUCAGGUUGGACAAGGGGUUCAACCUGCCCAUGGAUCUCACGUGCAGCUCCGGCGACGCGCUCCGGUGCCGGGAGGACGGGUGCCACGACGCGUUCCCAUACGUGAAGUACAACGACCACUCAUGCACCACCGCCGGCAGCCGGCUCCAGAUCGUCUUCUGCCCAUGAUGAGCUAGCUAGCUAGCGGCAGAACGUAAACAUAUAACCUACAAUAUACUACAUGUAGUAGUACAUACUCAGACGUGUCAUGUAUUCUCAGCGGUACGUACGUACACGUAUGAACACACGUGCGAGUUUCCAAUAAAAUUGCCAUGUGUGAUGUGCCUUUGAUAUAUUGUUCUUUUUUAUCGAAUGCUUUUGAUAUAUUGUUCUUUUUUAUUGAAUGCCUUUGAUAUAUUGUUUACGGGAAUUUACACACAAAAGAACGUGAAUUUGAACAAGAUAGCCUACAAAUAUGUAUGUUUUUCCACACACACAAAAUAUAUGUAUGUUCUAACAUUGGGACUUAGCUUGAAUAUUUUUUUUCGAGGGGUGGGACUCAGGUUGAUGGUCAGGGUCUCAAAUGGCAUGGCCACGAUUUUUAGAGAGGUUGAGCCAGGAUAUGUUAUUGGGGCAUGAUACCAGCUUUUUUUCCAACCGGGCUCACAACCCCUUUCCAUUAAUUUUGCAAUCAACGGAAAUACAUCAGUCUGGUUUCAAGUUCUGUAUCGAGCAUCCACUUGCUAAAGAUAACUAGACUGAAAGAUAGAACUAACCGCAAGCAAAAUGAGACUGAAAGAGGAGAGCAGGUUGGUGCAUCAUCAGGAAACCCAUCGUCGGACAAUCCUGGAACGGACCAUCCGCCGUGGCGCGAAAACCUGAUGACACUUACAAGCAACUGCCCAACCAAAAUACCCAAGGUUCCGAGGAUGAAACUGCCAGUAAGCCUCUACGACUAGGCGAAGCACAACCAGGAAGCACAAUUGCCAGCGGGCAUCAAACCCCAGUGGACAACAGAACGCAAAAGGAAAGAUCCAAGCGCCAAUUUCAUCUAACCAAUCUGGAUCCCAUCUCUGUCUCCCAAGAGAAGUCGCCACGAGGGAAGGACCUGUCCGCCAGCGCAGCAGCCGCGUGAGCUAACCUCUUCACUCCAGCUUGGAACUUCACCUUCUCAUCCUCCUUAAGCAGACCUCACUAGUAGAAAAAGGGUCAAACGUGAAGCACAUUAGUGCCGGUUUGUAUUUGAGCCGGUACUAAUGGUACCAUUAGUGCCGGUUCGAACGGAUUUGCAUUAAUGCCGGUUCGUGUUGAACCUUUAAUACCGGUUCGUGGCACGAACCGGUACUAAAGGGGUGGUGGCAGGCUGGCGUCAGGCCGGGGCCCCACGAUCACCUUUAGUACCGGUUCGUGGCACGAACCGGUACUAAAGGGGUCUGACCUAUAGUACCGGUUGGAGACACAAACCGGCACUAUAGGGCAAUUUUCAAACUUGAAAAAAUCAUAACUAAAUCAUCGUAAUUCAGUAAAAUACAUAUAAUAUAUCAAAAUAUGCAGACUUUUAAGGAAGAAAUUAGGAAGGCUAUACAGGGAAAAUGCGUGAAGGUUCUCGCAGAGUGUGUUCCUUUAAUCUCACCAACCAGUUAGCUUAGGAUGUGCGAAUCAAUCUGUGGUUGGACGGUUAGAGGGACAGUAGUAUCCACAGCCCAUCAGGGUUUAAGUCCUGGUUCUCACAUUAUUCCUGGAUUUAUUUUAGGAUUUCUGGCGUUGUGCUUUCAGCGGGAGGAGACGUUCCUGUCGACAACGAGGCGCCUACGGUGACUUUGUAAAUGUCAAGAUGAUAUACUGGCUAGGUCUCUCGUAGGUGCUCAUAGGGGUAGGAAUGUGCAUGUGUGCAUUCAUAGGGGUGAGCGUAUGUGCGUAUGUUUGAGCACUUGCGUCUAUACUAUGCUAAAAAAUAGAUAGCUCGGAAUGUGUGUUAUGCUAUAUGUAUAUAACCUAGUUUCCGCUGUAAAGGGCCCGUGCGUUGCAAUGUGAAAACCCGCGAAAGUUGACCUCGGUACCAAUUGGCAGGAUCUCACAGACCUGCGAGGGCCCCACUUGCCACCCUUCCUUCCCACCGACACGGAUCCUGCAAGUAUACUCUUCAUCCACGUGUUGUGUGGCUCAAACAUGGACGAAAAUACACAGUAAUCGUGCAUGCUUGUCGUCCUGAAUGAAGAUACAUAAAUUUACAGAAUAUUUUUAAUACAGGUUGAAUUUUUUUGAAGUACACGUUGUCAAUUUUUUGAAUGCAUGACGAACAUAUUUCGAAAACACGUUUGCAGUUUUUUAAUACAUGUGAAACAUUUUUGGAAAACAUGUUUACAAUUUUAUAAUAUACAGGAGGUGCUCUUCGGUCUAGCUGAAGCCGAAGAGGUGCUCUUCGGUCUAACUUAGGCCGAAGACAGGUCUUCGGUGUACUGUAGACUGAAGAGCUCCGAAGCCGGGCUGAAAAGAACUCUUCGGUCUACGCUUGGCCGAUGAGUGCACUUCGGUUUAAGCCAAGCCGAAGUGUCCUCUGAGGCCCACCUCUUCCCGUGAACUGCAGACCGAAGUUGCAUGGCACCACACUUCGGUUUACACUUGGCUGAAGAGGACCUCUUCGGUUUAUACUAGGCUGAAGAGUGACCUUUUCCCGCCAAGCCUUUUCCGCCAUCUGUAAUGUAUCUUUCCCUCCAUUCGUUCACGCCAUUUUCUUUCCCUCCACUGUUUCCUUCCAUCCUCUUUCCCGCCCAAUUUUCCUGCCAACCCCUUACCCUCAUUCUAUAAAACCAGACCCCUUGCCUGUUGUUUUCUGCAUCUUUCCUUACCAAUAUUUUCAGUCAUGUCCGACGACAAUUCCGGCGGUUUUACUCCACUAAUGUCUCAUUUUCCCUUGUGCAAUGCCUCAAGAAUGCAUAGGCCUAGUAUGGGGUGUGUGUGGAGGAAAUAUACCCUAGAGGCAAUAAUAAAGUUAUUAUUUAUUUCCUUAUUUCAUGAUAAAUGUUUAUUAUUCAUGCUAGAAUUGUAUUAACCGGAAACAUAAUACAUGUGUGAAUACAUAGACAAACAAAGUGUCACUAGUAUGCCUCUACUUGACUAGCUCGUUGGUCAAAGAUGGUUAUGUUUCCUAACCAUAGACACGAGUUGUCAUUUGAUUAACGGGAUCACAUCAUUAGGAGAAUGAUGUGAUUGACUUGACCCAUUCCGUUAGCUUAGCACACGAUCGUUUAGUAUGUUGCUAUUGCUUUCUUCAUGACUUAUACAUGUUCCUAUGACUAUGAGAUUAUGCAACUCACAUUUACCAGAGGAACACUUUGUGUGCUACCAAACGUCACAACGUAACUGGGUGAUUAUAAAGGUGCUCUGCAAGUGUCUCUGAAGUUACUUGUUGGGUUGGCGUAUUUCGAGAUUAGGAUUUGUCACUUCGAUUGUCGGAGAGGUAUCUCUGGGUCCUCUUGGUAAUGCACAUCACUUAAGCCUUGCAAGCAAUGCAACUAAUGAGUUAGUUGCGGGAUGAUGUAUUACGGAACGAGUAAAGAGACUUGCCAGUAACGAGAUUGAACUAGGUAUUGAGAUACCGACGAUCGAAUCUCGGGCAAGUAACAUAUCGAUGACAAAGGGAACAACGUAUGUUAUGCAGUCUGAUCGAUAAAGAUCUUCGUAGAAUAUGUAGGAGCCAAUAUGAGCAUCCAGGUUCCGCUAUUGGUUAUUGACUGGAGACAUGUCUCGGUCAUGUCUACAUUGUUCUCGAACCCGUAGGGUCCGCACGCUUAAGUUUUCGAUGACAGUUAUAUUAUGAGUUUAUAAGUUUUGAUGUACCGAAGGAGUUCGGAGUCCCGGAUGAGAUCGAGGACAUGACGAGGAGUCUCGAAAUGGUCGAGACAUAAAGAUCGAUAUAUUGGACGACCAUAUUCGGACAUCGGAAAGGUUCCGAGUGAUUCGGGUAUUUUUCGGCCUACCGAAGAGUUACGGGAAUUCGUCGGGGAGUAUAUGGGCCUUAUUGGGCCAUACGGGAAUAGAGGAGAGAGGCCAAAAGGAAGGAGGCCCCCCCUCUGGUCCGAAUUGGACAAGGGGUGCAACAACAACAUACAACUAUCUAGAUAAUGCAUUUAAAUGCAACAAUAAAUGUGAUCAAAAUUGCAACUAAGGUAAUAAUUGAUCCAAUAGCAUAAUGAUACCAAGCCUAUUUAUUAGCGGCAUAUUUUCUAAACUUUCUAAUCUUCAAGCGCAUUGCAUCCAUCUUGAUCUUUGGAUCAUCGACGACAACAGCAACAUACAAAUCCAAUUUCAUCUUCUCUUCUCAAUUCUUUUUAAUUUUUCUUUCAAAUACUCAUUUUCUUUUUCUACUAAAUUUAACUUCUCGACAAGAGGGUCGGUGGCAAUUUCUGGUUCACAUACCUCCUAGAUAAAAAUAUAUAUGUCAGCUUGAUGGGCAUAAUUGUCAUAAACACGAAAUGCAACAAAUAGUUAUAAAAGAUAUUAUACCACAUCCGAAUCAUAAAUCGGACAAGGGCCGUCGGCGAAGGAUAUCAAAACCAUGGCACUACGUAUAACAAACAAUCAUACAAGUAAGAAAAUUAUACAAGCAACUAUCUAAAUCAUAGAAAUAAGAUUUCUUUGCACAAAAAGGAUAAGAACAAGAGCCUCACCAAGGAGGUGUCGGCGACGGGACGGCGCGGGCGACCGAUGGCGGUGAGGACGGGAAGGCAGUAGUUAAACCACACCUACACAUAUGGAAACUAAGAAGUUAAUUUGAGCUCAAAUUACAUAUAAAUCAAAUAAACUCCCACAUAAUUACUCCCAAACCAAAACCCACAAAUGACUAUACUUAUACAGCAUGAAACAAGCUAAACUAGCAAUGAGAGAGGAAAGGACAAAGUUACUAACCUUUUAAACACUUAGAUAGAUGGGGUGCCUCAAAUCUUAACAAAUCUUGGCAGUUAGAUGACACCACUACACUACACACGGUAGGAGUGAUCUUGAACGAAACACAAGGGAAAAAAGUCGGACCCGACAAAGGUCGUCCAGGUAGGUAGCCAUCUUUGAAUUGAAUGAGUGUUCUCCAAAGUAGCUAUCUCGGUGAGAUGAUCGACAUCUUCAUCACGAACCCUAUAUAAACGCCAAGCUCCAUGAGCUCAGUCCCAGCACACACACACCCAUAGUUCCACCUAAUAUAAUGGCCGGAAGCGCGAGCGCCACUCUGGUCCUCCUCGUCGUCGUGGUCGCGGCCCUCGCCGUGGGGGCCAGCGCGACAUCGACGCUGACGCCGCUCAGCAUCACCAACCGGUGCUCCUUCACGGUAUGGCCGGCGGUGGCCUCCGCAGGCCUCGGCACGGAGCUCCAUCCGGGAGCCAACUGGACCGUGGACGCGUCGGCGAUCCACUACACCGCGGACAUAUGGGGGCGCACGGGCUGCUCCUUCGACGCGGCAGGCAGGGGACGGUGCCAGACGGUGGACUGCGGCAGCGGGCUACGGUGCCGGAGCAACGACCCUGCGGCGCCGACGACCAAGGCCCAGGUCGCCAUCUCCGAGGGCUUCUACCACUACGGCAUCAUGUUGGACAAGGGGUUCAACCUGCCCAUGGAUCUCACGUGCAGCUCCGGCGACGCGCUCCGGUGCCGGGAGGACGGGUGCCACGACGCGUUCCCGUACGUGAAGUACAACGACCACUCAUGCACCGCCGCCGGCAGCCGGCUCCAAAUCAUCUUCUGCCCAUGAUGAGCUAGCUAGCGGCAGAAUGUAAACAUAUAACCUACACAUAUACUACGUGUAGUAGUACAUACUCAGACGUGUCAUGUAUUCUCAGCGGUACGUACGUACACGUAUGAACGCACGUGCGAGUUUCCAAUAAAAUUGCCAUGUGUGAUGUGCCUUUGAUAUAUUGUUCUUUUUUAUCGAAUGCCUUUGAUAUAUUGUUCUUUUUUAUUGAAUGCCUUUGAUAUAUUGUUUACGGGAAUUUACACACAAAAGAACGUGAAUUUGAACAAGAUAGCCUACAAAUAUGUAUGUUUUUCCACACACAAAAAAUAUAUGUAUG
rnacentral:lncRNA from 1 species